AUUGAACGCUGGCGGCAUGCUUUACACAUGCAAGUCGAACGGCAGCACGGGAGCUUGCUCCUGGUGGCGAGUGGCGAACGGGUGAGUAAUGCAUCGGAACGUACCCAGUAGUGGGGGAUAGCCCGGCGAAAGCCGGAUUAAUACCGCAUAUUUCCUGAGGGAGAAAGCGGGGGACCUUCGGGCCUCGCGCUACUGGAGCGGCUGAUGUCGGAUUAGCUAGUUGGUGAGGUAAAGGCUCACCAAGGCGACGAUCCGUAGCUGGUCUGAGAGGAUGAUCAGCCACACUGGGACUGAGACACGGCCCAGACUCCUACGGGAGGCAGCAGUGGGGAAUUUUGGACAAUGGGGGCGAACCCUGAUCCAGCCAUGCCGCGUGAGUGAAGAAGGCCC
rnacentral:rRNA from 1 species